rnacentral:rRNA from 1 species
UACAGAGGUCCCGAGCGUUUGUUCGGAUUCACUGGGCGUAAAGGGUGCGCAGGUGGUUUGGCAAGUUUGAUGUGAAAGCCCCGGGCUUAACCCGGGAAUGGCAUUGAAUACUGCUUGAACUGGAGGGUCGGAGGGGGGACUGGAAUUCUUGGUGUAGCAGUGAAAUGCGUAGAUAUCAAGAGGAACACCAGUGGCGAAGGCGAGUCCCUGGACGAUACCUGACACUGAGGCACGAAAGCCAAGGGAGCAAAACAGG